rnacentral:rRNA from 1 species
UACGGGGGGGCAAGCGUUGUUCGGAAUUACUGGGCGUAAAGGGCUCGUAGGCGGCCAACUAAGUCAGACGUGAAAUCCCUCGGCUUAACCGGGGAACUGCGUCUGAUACUGGAUGGCUUGAGUUUGGGAGAGGGAUGCGGAAUUCCAGGUGUAGCGGUGAAAUGCGUAGAUAUCUGGAGGAACACCGGUGGCGAAGGCGGCAUCCUGGACCGACAUUGACGCUGAGGAGCGAAAGCUAGGGGAGCAAACGGG